AGAAUUUCAAGAUCAAAGCGUUCUACACUCAGCUAUCAGUUUCGCGCGGCCAAAGCGCCUCCGUCCCGCCGGAUUUCCUGACGCUGCAUUUCCUCCCCCGCAUCAGCGGCGGCCGCCUCGAGAUUAACGGGUCCAGCAUCCGACCCGACUCGCCCGCCUUCCUCACGCUCCACCGGGUUAUAUCCGAGGAGACGGCCCACGGAUUCAAAUACGGGAGCAGGGAGAGGGUGACGGUGUGCGAGGGGGCCAAGUUUGAGAUCUACGUGGCGGAUGUGAA
rnacentral:lncRNA from 1 species